ACUCCCCUUCCCUUGGUAACCAAAUCUCGUCGUGUUGCCAGGCACCAUAUGGUAAACAAUAAAUUGGUUACAACUUAUGUCGCUGAGUACUACAAGGAAGUUGUUGAAGGCGCAUGUCCACACGAACACAUAGUCUGCUGUAACAUGUACAUAAUGGUGGCAUACAAGUGUGUCUAUCUUAAAGACCUGCACGAAGUUGCUCUCUCCUUACUCGGAUAGAGCUUAGCAACGAGAUUUCUUGUCAAAAAAGAAAAUAAAAAUUGUCAUUGCUCA
rnacentral:misc_RNA from 1 species